rnacentral:rRNA from 1 species
AUUGAACGCUGGCGGCAUGCCUUACACAUGCAAGUCGAACGGCAGCAUAGGAGCUUGCUCCUGAUGGCGAGUGGCGAACGGGUGAGUAAUAUAUCGGAACGUGCCCUAGAGUGGGGGAUAACUAGUCGAAAGACUAGCUAAUACCGCAUACGAUCUACGGAUGAAAGUGGGGGAUCGCAAGACCUCAUGCUCCUGGAGCGGCCGAUAUCUGAUUAGCUAGUUGGUGGGGUAAAAGCUCACCAAGGCGACGAUCAGUAGCUGGGCUGAGAGCACGACAAGCCACACUAGGACUGGGACACGGCACAGACUCCUACGGGAGGCAGCAGUGGGGAAUUUUGGACAAUGGGGGCAACCCUGAUCCAGAAAUGCCGCGUGAGUGAAGAAGGCCUUCGGGUUGUAAAGCUCUUUUGUCAGGGAAGAAACGGUUCUGGAUAAUACCUGGGACUAAUGACGGUACCUGAAGAAUAAGCACCGGCUAACUACGUGCCAGCAGCCGCCGUGACAC